UUGUGGAGGAGGACGCCGAAGGUGGGGCUAAUGACUGGGGUGAAGUCGUAACAAGGUAGCCGUACCGGAAGGUGCGGCUGGAUCACCUCCUAACAGGGAGACAACAAAAUGUUUAAUAUUAUUAUUUUGUCACCUUAGGUCGAUCGGUAUCUCACAUUCUUAACUUAUUAAGGAUUUCAAUUCCUAAGUUUUUCUAGGUCACACCCAUAAUUUUUCCUGGGCCAUUAGCUCAGGUGGUUAGAGCGCACCCCUGAUAAGGGUGAGGUCCCUGGUUCAAGUCCAGGAUGGCCCAUAUCUCUAUGUUGGGGGUAUAGCUCAGUUGGUAGAGCGCCUGCUUUGCAAGCAGGAUGUCAGCGGUUCGAGUCCGCUUACCUCCACUGAUUACCACCUCUUCCAUAAUGUUUAUAAAGGAAAGGUUUUGAGAUGUGAUCAAAUUCUGAACGAAUCUAGCUUCCUAAUGAAACCAUUAAGAUGCUGGACUCAUUGAAUUAAUUUUCAUUGUUUUCAGAGAACCUUGACAACUGCAUAGAUUAUUUUAAAGACAAUAAGCAUCUUUAAUGACGCAGAUUUAUUAUUUUUGCAAAAGCAUUAAUAACAAUUCUAUUAAGCUGAUGCUUCAAAUUUUGAAGUUAUUGGUCAAGCUACAA
rnacentral:misc_RNA from 1 species